CCUACGGGUGGCUGCAGUAGGGAAUUUUGCGCAAUGGGGGAAACCCUGACGCAGCAACACCGCGUGAAUGUUAAGCCCUUCGGGGUGGGAAGUUCUGUCAAUGGGGACGAAUUUUGACGGUACCUAUAAAGUAAGCACCGGCUAACUCCGUGCCAGCAGCCGCGGUAAUACGGGGGGUGCAAGCGUUGUCCGGAAUCAUUGGGCGUAAAGCGUUCGUAGGCGGGAUUGCAAGUCUGAUGUUAAAGCCCGGGGCUCAACUCCGGUUCGGCAUUGGAUACUGGCAAACUAGAAUGUGGUAGAGGUAAAGGGAAUUCCUGGUGUAGCGGUGAAAUGCGUAGAUAUCAGGAGGAACAUCGAUGGCGAAAGCGAUUUACUGGAACAUUAUUGACGCUGAGGAACGAAAGCCAGGGGAGCAAAUGGGAUUAGAUACCCCAGUAGUC
rnacentral:rRNA from 1 species